UACGUAGGGGGCAAGCGUUGUCCGGAUUUAUUGGGCGUAAAGAGCGUGUAGGCGGCCAGGUAGGUCAGCUGUGAAAACUCGAGGCUCAACCUCGAGACGCCGGUUGAAACCAUCUGGCUAGAGUCCGGAAGAGGAGAGUGGAAUUCCUGGUGUAGCGGUGAAAUGCGCAGAUAUCAGGAAGAACACCCGUGGCUAAGGCGGCUCUCUAGUACGGUACUGACGCUGUGACGCGAAAGCGUGGGGAGCGAACAGG
rnacentral:rRNA from 1 species